rnacentral:rRNA from 1 species
UCUAGUAGCCAUCUCACCCUGCAACUCACAACUGGCAGCCCACCGAAGCUCAGCAGAUUUGAGCCUGGUCAGUACCUGGAUGGGAGAUCUCCUGGGAAAAACUAAGGUUGCUGCUGGAA